UACGGGGGGGGCAAGCGUUGUUCGGAAUUACUGGGCGUAAAGGGCUCGUAGGCGGCCAACUAAGUCAGACGUGAAAUCCCUCGGCUUAACCGGGGAACUGCGUCUGAUACUGGAUGGCUUGAGUUUGGGAGAGGGAUGCGGAAUUCCAGGUGUAGCGGUGAAAUGCGUAGAUAUCGUUUGGAACGCCGAUGGUGAAAACAGGUCGCUGGGGUUGUGCUGACGCUGAGACACGAAAGCCAGGGGAGCGAACGGG
rnacentral:rRNA from 1 species